UACGUAGGGUCCGAGCGUUGCUCGGAAUCACUGGGCGUAAAGGGUGCGUAGGCGGGUUCUUAAGUCAGAGGUGAAAUCCCAGAGCUCAACUCUGGAACUGCCUUUGAUACUGUCGAUCUGGAGUAUGGAAGAGGUGAGUGGAAUUCCGAGUGUAGAGGUGAAAUUCGUAGAUAUUCGGAGGAACACCAGUGGCGAAGGCGGCUCACUGGUCCAUUACUGACGCUGAGGUGCGAAAGCGUGGGGAGCAAACAGG
rnacentral:rRNA from 1 species